GCCUAACACAUGCAAGUCGGACGGUAGCACAGAGGAGCUUGCUCCUCGGGUGACGAGUGGCGGACGGGUGAGUAAUGUCUGGGGAUCUGCCCGAUAGAGGGGGAUAACCACUGGAAACGGUGGCUAAUACCGCAUAACGUCGCAAGACCAAAGAGGGGGACCUUCGGGCCUCUCACUAUCGGAUGAACCCAGAUGGGAUUAGCUAGUAGGCGGGGUAACGGCCCACCUAGGCGACGAUCCCUAGCUGGUCUGAGAGGAUGACCAGCCACACUGGAACUGAGACACGGUCCAGACUCCUACGGGAGGCAGCAGUGGGGAAUAUUGCACAAUGGGCGCAAGCCUGAUGCAGCCAUGCCGCGUGUAUGAAGAAGGCCUUCGGGUUGUAAAGUACUUUCAGCGGGGAGGAAGGCAUUGCGGUUAAUAACCGCAGUGAUUGACGUUACCCGCAGAAGAAGCACCGGCUAACUCCGUGCCAGCAGCCGCGGUAAU
rnacentral:rRNA from 1 species